GAGAGAGAGAGAGAGAGGGAAGAGGAAGCUAUAUCCGGCGAUUUGUGGAAGGGUUUAGGAAAAUGCGCGAGUAGAGGCAACAAGGCUGUGGCGCUUUCGAUCGGAGGAUUAGGGUUUGGGGAAGAGCGCAGCGGUGAUGGCGCUCAUGCGCGCCGCCGUUGGUGUGGGGCGCCGGAGGCUCCUCUCGCAUUGCAGCUGUAUGGCCAAUGGAUCGCAUCAGGGCGGCGUGUGGGAAUUGAGGAUGCGCUGCUUCUCCUCGUGGUUACAUCAUCACCAUGAGGCGCAGGAUUAUCUCAGGUCAACUAUGGUUUUUAGAUUUGGUCCGCCUGGACAGUACGUUUCGAGGCGUUUCUACGCUGAUAUGCCUUCGCAUCAGCCUCUUGGAAUGCCGUCUCUUUCUCCAACCAUGACACAGGGAAACAUAGUGAAAUGGAAGAAAAAGGAGGGUGACAAGGUUACUGCCGGAGAUGUGCUUUGCGAAAUUGAAACGGAUAAAGCAACAGUUGACAUGGAAUGCAUGGAAGACGGCUACUUGGCUAAGAUCGUAUUUUCGGACGGUGCAAAAGACAUAAAAGUUGGACAGAUUAUAGCCAUAACUGUCGAAGAACAAGGGGAUAUUGAUAAGUUUAAAGACUACAAAGCUGACGCUCCUGCUGCACCUCCGAAGCCCGCUCCCAAGGAAAGCCCUCCUCCACCGAAACCCACAGAAAGCCCAAAACCGGCUCCGUCGCCCAAGCCUGCUCCAGCUGCAUCUGGUGAUAGGAUCAUAGCCAGCCCCAACGCUAGGAAGUAUGCUCAGGAUAACCAAAUAUCUCUAUCAGGAGUAGCGGGGACGGGGCCUGGAGGUCGGAUCGUCAGAGCGGAUGUAGAGGGCCUGAAAGGUGGCCAGCAAGUACAAGAGCCUCGGCGUGCUGAAACGCCUGGUGAUUCUACUUCGCUGGACUACACGGAUCUACCAAACACACAAAUCAGACGGGUCAUUGCUCAACGCCUUCUUCAAUCAAAGCAAACGAUUCCACAUUAUUAUUUGACCGUGGAUGUUCGUGUUGACAAGCUCCUUGCACUAAGGACUCAGUUGAAUGCCAAGCUGGAGAAGGAGAAAAGGAAAAAGCUUUCUGUUAACGAUUUCGUUUUGAAGGCUGCGGCGUUAGCGCUGAAGAAGGUUCCAGAGUGUAAUAGCUCGUGGACUGACGAGUUUAUCAGGCAGUUUCACAACAUAAAUAUCAGCGUUGCUGUACAAACGGAGCGGGGUUUGAUGGUUCCAGUUGUAAAGGAUGCUGAUAAGAAAGGGUUGGGAGCUAUUUCGGACGAUGUAAGAACGUUGGCGGAGAAGGCUAGGGAGAACACACUGAAGCCUAGUGACUACGAUGGUGGCACGUUCACGGUCUCGAACUUGGGUGGACCAUUUGGUAUCAAACAAUUUUGUGCUAUCAUCAAUCCGCCACAGUCGUGCAUUCUUGCCGUCGGCACGACUGACAAGAGAGUGAUUCCUGGUGAGAACGAUGGCGAGUACACAGCGGCUACAUUCAUGUCUGCUACUUUGAGCUGUGAUCACAGAGUUGUGGAUGGCGCAAUUGGAGCGCACUGGCUCGGUGCGUUCAAAGGCUACAUCGAGGACCCCAUGACUUUGCUACUAUAGUGGAGCUCUGGCGAUGGCGAUAAGAAGGAAAUAAAAAUGGACACGAGAAAAUAACCGCGACUCGAACUGGAUCGGCAUUUGUGAAUUUUUCUUCGUCAAUAAAAACCCAUUGGAGCUAUGUACGGCAAAUACGCAUGAUGUUGUACGGAAGAAGUUUCCGAAGAACCCUAAAUCUCUAAUGUGGAAGAAAAUGCCGACCUAGAUUUUGAUUUUCUAUGGAUCAGGCGGGUGUCUCUCUGGGAUCAGCGUACAAGGCGCUGGGAUUGACCCCGAGCGCGAGCGCGAGCGAGGUCAAGGCGGCGUACAGGCGCUUAGCUUUGAAAUGCCAUCCCGAUUUGAGCCCCAACAAUCACGGAGAAUUCCAGCGCCUCUCGGCCGCGUACCAGCGAAUUAUAAACAGGGCUCCACAGGAGGAGCUCCAGAUCAACACGAGCCACUUUGCUAGCGGCGGCGGAGGUGGCGGCGGCGAGGCGGAGGAGAGGUUGCGAUCGUUUGGCUACCGCCAGGCGAAUCGCUCGGAGCAAAUGCCGAUCAUGCGGACGGUGUUUAGCCGGCCUGUGACGGUGGGAGUGUUCGCCACCAUCGCCUUCGCGAUUUGUGGCGGAGGAGUGGUGGCGUUUAGCUUGAGCCGCCAGGACAAGCGAAGAAUCGGAGUCAUCUCCAGGAAUACCGAUCAAGAGCUCGUUGCUAGCUAGCUCGAUUUCGCGAAGCUCUUGGAGAGGACAUGGCAGUGCGGCGGGUCGAUCCGGUUGUAGUAGUUUUGGAUCGUGUCCACGAUUUGGAAGCCGGCUCGCUGGUAGAAG